CGCGCACCCGAACCCCAGAGCCGCCGCGCGCCGUGGCCGCGGCUCCAAGCGGGGUGCGCACAGCAGCGGGGCCUCGUCGCCUCCGGGGGGCUGCGGGUGCCCCCGGGAGUGAAUGCGGAGGCCGCACACGC